rnacentral:rRNA from 1 species
AUUGAACGCUGGCGGCCGUCCUAACACAUGCAAGUCGAUCGAGCGGCGGACGGGUGAGUAAUGUAUGGGGACUGCCCGCUAGAGGGGGAUAACUAAUGGAAAAGGUGGCUAAUACCGCAUACUAUCGGAUAACCCAUAUGGGAUUAGCUAGUAGGUGGGGUAAAGGCUCACCUAGGCGACGACCUCUAGCUGGUCUGAGAGGAUGAUCAGCCAACAUGGGACUGAGACACGGCUCAGACGCCGACGGAGGCAGCAGGGGGGAAUAUUGAACAAUGGCCGCAAGCCUGAUGCAUCAAUGCCGCGUGUAUGAAGAAGGCCUUAGGGUUGUAAAGUACUGUCAGCUGAGAGGCGUUACCAGGAGAGGAAGCACCGGCUAACUCCGUGCCAGCAGCCGCGGUAAUUC